UAUAUACUUCCUCCGUUCAGAAAUACUUGUCAUUGAAAUGGAUGUAUCUAGUUGUAUUUUGGUUGUAGGUACAUUCAUUUCCAUCCAUUUUGAUGACAAAUAUUUCCGGACGGAGAAAGUAUUAU
rfam:Triticum aestivum genome assembly, contig: Triticum_aestivum_CS42_TGACv1_scaffold_001920_1AL